GUGCACUUUAUUGUGGCUCAGAACUUUUUCAUUUUUACCCCCAAGACUUGUUUGUGUGGCAUUUUUGCCAUUGCACUCAGGUAUACGUAACACAAAAGUGUUACAUUACCCCCUCCCCUGAUUUUUUUUUUUUUUAUUAUUAAACACAAGUGGAAUUAAGAAUGUAAUAUAUAUUUUUUUAAAU
rnacentral:misc_RNA from 1 species